rnacentral:rRNA from 1 species
CAGCAGCCGCGGGAACACAGAGGGUGCGAGCGUUAAUCGGAUUUACUGGGCGUAAAGCGUGCGUAGGCGGCUUCUUAAGUCGGAUGUGAAAUCCCUGAGCUUAACUUAGGAAUUGCAUUCGAUACUGGGAAGCUAGAGUAUGGGAGAGGAUGGUAGAAUUCCAGGUGUAGCGGUGAAAUGCGUAGAGAUCUGGAGGAAUACCGAUGGCGAAGGCAGCCAUCUGGCCUAACACUGACGCUGAGGUACGAAAGCAUGGGGAGCAAACAGGAUUAGAUACCCCGGUAGUCCCUGUCUCUUAUAC